UACGUAGGUGUCGAGCGUUGUCCGGAUUUAUUGGGCGUAAAGCGCCCGCAGGCGGCUUGGCAAGUUUGAGGUGAAAUCUCCCGGCUCAACUGGGAGGGUGCCUCGAAAACUGCCAGGCUUGAGUCAUGGAGAGGGAUGUGGAAUUCCAGGUGUAGUGGUGAAAUGCGUAGAUAUCAGGAGGAACACCUGCGGUGUAGACGGCUUACUGGACCAUAACUGACGCUGAGGCACGAAAGCGUGGGUAGCAAACAGG
rnacentral:rRNA from 1 species